rnacentral:lncRNA from 1 species
UGACAUGUAUAAGGACUAGUUUUUAUGUUAGAUGUUGUUAUGAUUAGCCAAAUGUAUCGGCUUAUAUUGAUUUAUUGUAUAUGGCCAUGAGAUGUGGCUUAAAUGGUUAUGGCUUGUAAGCCUAAUUAUUCUUGCUAUGUGUUAAUGUUUGUGAUGUGUUUAUAAUUGGUUGUUAUGAAUGAUUAGUAUAACACAUGUACAUGAUGAAUGCUCUAAGACCAUUCAAG